UACGUAGGUGGCAAGCGUUGUCCGGAAUCAUUGGGCGUAAAGAGCGUGUAGGCGGUUCGGUAAGUCGGCUGUGAAAGUCCAGGGCUCAACCCUGGGAUGCCGGUCGAUACUGCCGGACUAGAGUUCGGAAGAGGCGAGUGGAAUUCCCGGUGUAGCGGUGAAAUGCGCAGAUAUCGGGAGGAACACCUAUGGCGAAGGCAGCUCGCUGGGACGUUACUGACGCUGAGACGCGAAAGCGUGGGGAGCAAACAGG
rnacentral:rRNA from 1 species